UGAGUAACACGUAUCCAACCUGCCGUCUACUCUUGGACAGCCUUCUGAAAGGAAGAUUAAUACAAGAUGGCAUCAUGAGUCCGCAUGUUCACAUGAUUAAAGGUAUUCCGGUAGACGAUGGGGAUGCGUUCCAUUAGAUAGUAGGCGGGGUAACGGCCCACCUAGUCUUCGAUGGAUAGGGGCUCUGAGAGGAAGGUCCCCCACAUUGGGACUGAGACACGGCCCAA
rnacentral:rRNA from 1 species